rnacentral:rRNA from 1 species
AGUGAACGCUGGCGGUAGGCCUAACACAUGCAAGUCGAACGGCAGCACAGGAGAGCUUGCUCUCUGGGUGGCGAGUGGCGGACGGGUGAGGAAUACAUCGGAAUCUACCUUUUCGUGGGGGAUAACGUAGGGAAACUUACGCUAAUACCGCAUACGACCUACGGGUGAAAGUGGGGGACCGCAAGGCCUCACGCGAUUAGAUGAGCCGAUGUCCGAUUAGGCUAGUUGGCGGGGUAAUGGCCCACCAAGGCGACGAUCGGUAGCUGGUCUGAGAGGAUGAUCAGCCACGCUGGAACUGAGACACGGUCCAGACUCCUACGGGAGGCAGCAGUGGGGAAUAUUGGACAAUGGGCGCAAGCCUGAUCCAGCCAUACCGCGUGGGUGAAGAAGGCCUUCGGGUUGUAAAGCCCUUUUGUUGGGAAAGAAAUCCUGUCGAUUAAUACUCGGUGGGGAUGACGGUACCCAAAGAAUAAGCACCGGCUAACUUCGUGCCAGCCGCCGCGGUAAAAC